CUGCAAAUUUUGCAGUUGUAACUGUGUAUGUCAUAACUGAUAUCUCUUUUAUUCAAGUGGCACUUUUUAAUGUGUUCCUUCAAAAGAAUGCCAAAAGGUACCAAUGAAGAGUGGUCGCGUCUAGAGUGGCUUACCAUCAAAAAUGGUAAUGUUGUGAAGUAGGGACAAAUUUGACACUUUUGACCAAUGCUAUUGGACUUCACGUUGGAAAAUUUUUCAGAGUAGACUAAUAGUGACAUCUGAAAACCUGCAUUAGUAUUAUUUAUUAAAAUAAACAUUCUUUCUCA